rnacentral:lncRNA from 1 species
AUCUUUUGUUUUCAUCUCUGAUUUUCCUUUUGCCCCUUUUAAUUUGGCUUAAACUAGCAAAAAGGAAAACCCUGAAUUUGCCUCCAUCACCUCCAAAGCUACCACUUAUUGGCAACAUCCAUCAACUUGGCAAACUUCCCCACCGUUCUCUCCGGGACCUCUCUAGGAAAUAUGGUUCUCUCCUACUUCUACAAUUGGGGUAUAACCCAACUGUAGUGGUUUCAUCAACCGACAUGGUUAGAGAAAUUGUGGAGAACCAUGACAUUGUUUUCGCCAACAGACCAAGGACCACAGCUGUAGAUAUCUUGUUCUAUGGAUGCAAAGAUAUGGUUUUUACACCCUACGGUGAGUACUGGAGACAAGUUAAGAAGAUCGGUGUUGUUGAGCUUUUUAGCCACCGAAGCGUGCACUCCUUUCAGUUCGUUAGAGAUGAAGAAGUUGAACUUCUUAUCAACAAAAUCCGCGGUGCUUGUCUGAAAGGAGAGUCUAUAAAUCUGACAGACAUGCUUAUGUUCGUUUCAAGCAACAUAGUUUCUCGAUGUAUUCUUAGUCACAAAAAUGAAGAAGAAGAUGGAUGCAGCAAGUUUGGGGAGUUAGCAAAAAGGUUGUUGAUUCUCUUCACUAGUUCCUGUAUUGGCGAUAUGUUUCCUUACUUGAGGUGGGUUGAUGUGCUUACUGGAUAUAUUCCAAGUAUGAAAGCAGUCUCAGCGGAAUUGGAUGCAUUCCUUGAUCAAGUAAUUCAGGAGCAUCAAGCUUUUGAAAGUAAUGACCAAGUUUCCAAUAAAAAGGACUUUGUAUCUAUCAUUAUGCAACUUCAAAAGGAUGGCAUGUAUGAGAAGGAGAUGUCCUGGAAUGCCAUUUGGAGUUGUUGCUAUUGAGUAUGUGAUGGCCAACCUUCUCUACUGGUUUGAUUGGAAGUUACCUGCUGGUGAAAUUGCUGAGAACUUGGACAUGACUGAACUCUUCGGCCUCACAGUCACCAAGAAAACCCCUCUUCAUGUUCUACCUCUGUCUCAUUUCUCUUUUUAAAUAUAUAUGUGUGUGUGCGCGCGCGCGCGGGGGCUCGCGCUCGAUGAUUUUAGGCUUUUAUCACUUUCUUUCUUUGGAGAAGAUAAUAUUACUAUCCUUGGUUCUUGUUGUUAUACUGAUAUUGGUCAAGAAAUUCAUUCCGUGCAAGUAAUCAAUACAAUAAUACAAGUAAAAUUAUACAAAUUUGUACGAUGUGAAAUGAAAGAUAAAACUUUUGUGUUGAACUAAAAGGAGAUGCAAAUACAAGCUAAACCGAUGAAAGAUAAAACUUUUGUGUUGAAUUAAAAAGAGAUGCAAAUACAAGCUAAACCGCACAAGAAGUGCUUAUGGAAGUAGGCACUUCUUCAACUACUAUGAAACAACUAAUAAAAUUGGGAACUGAUACAAUUAACAUUGAUAAUGGAAAUAGGAAUGAUCACAAAACAAUAAGAAAGAAAAAUUAGACCAUAAAUUUUAUGUGUAAACCCCUUAUUAGGAAAAACCUCAGGUAGAGAAAGAGAAAUUCACUAAUGUUGAAAAACAACAAUACGAGAGUAGUUUGACUACACCUAUUUUAAGGGUUAAACAACCCUAAUCAAUGUCUAAUAGGAGAAGUAUACUCCUAUACAGAUUCAAUUUGUAUGGGAUGGUCUACCCCCACAGACCCCUUUAUUUUGUUCUUUAUUUUAUUUCUUUAACAAUUGAUGGGAUUCGGGUCACACAACUCUAAUAAUCUCUACCUUGACACAAAUUCUCGACAAAUAAGUUCUCAAGCUCUUCCACGAAACCCAUUAAGGGCUAUUCUUCAACAAUGAACACCAACCAAGUCCAAGCAAUGCUCAAAGUUGGCUAUAGGAAGUGACUUAGUCAUCAUAUCUAUAGGAUUAUCAUGAGUACUAACUUUACCCACAAUAAUAUCACCACAAGCAAUAAUAUCACACACAAAAUGAUACCGAACAUCAGUAUAUUUUGUCCUCUCAUGAAACAUUUGAUCCUUCGUAAGAAAUAUGACACUCUGACUAUUACAAAACACUGUACUGAUCUAAAGAUCUUUAUUGAGUUCACCAAAGAGUCCCUUUAACCAAAUAACUUCUUUAUAAGCAUCAGUAAUCGUCAUGUACUCAACUUUAGUAGUAAACAAUGCAAUUGUAGUCUACAAAAUGACUUUCCAACUGAUGGCACAACCCCUAAUAGUAAAAAUGUACCUUGUGCGAGACAUUAUUUUAUCAAGGUCUCAAGCAAAAUCAGGAUCAAUGUACCAAAUGACUCCAUCUCUAAUUCUUCCAAACUAUAAGUAAAUAUCAGUAGUACCUCAUAAGUAUCUAAAAAUCCACUGAAAUUCUUUCCAGUGUUCCUUACCGAAAUUCGUCAUGUAUCUACUAACUGUACUAACCACAUAUGAUAAAUUUGGACAUCAACAAACCAUAGCAUACAUGAGAGAUCCCACUGCACUAGAAUAUGGAACUUGUGACAUGUAGUAAAUCUCAUUAUCUGAUUCCGGAGACAAAGCUGAUGAAAGUCUAAAGUGGGCUACUAAUGGAGUCCUAAUGGGCUUUGUACUCUACAUAUUCAACUUGAAAAAAAUUUUCUCAAUGUACCCUUUCUAACUUCGGUACAAUUUAUAUGCUUUUCUAUCUCUAAGAAUCUCCAUCUCAGGUAUCUUUUUUACUACUCCCAAAUCUUUCAUCUCAAGUUCUUUACUAAGCUGGGCUUUGACCUUUCUUAUCCCCCAUUUAUCUUUGGUUGCUAUCAACAUGUCAUAAACAUAAAGGAGUAGAUAUACAGACGAACCAUCAUUACUCUUCUUAAAAUGAAAACAAUUGUUAAAACUGCUUGUUGUGAUGUCAUGAGUAGUCAUAAAUGAAUCAAACCUCUUGUACCACUACCUAGGUGGCUAUUUCAGGCCAUAAAAAGAAUUUUUAAGCAAUGAAACAUAAUCCUCAUUUCCUGAUACUAUGAAACCCUUUAGUUGUUGCAUAUAAAUAUCUUCCUCAAGUUCUCUAUGCAAUAAUGUUGUUUUCACAUCUAACUGCUCAAGCUCCAAAUCUUACAUGGACACAAUAUCAAACAAGGCUUGAAUCGAACUAUGUUUAACAUCUAGGGAAAACACAUCUAUGAAAUAUACACUUGAAAUCUAGCUGUAACCUUUUGUAAUCAAUCUUGCUUUAUAAAUGGAUUCUUCAACUCUUGGAGUCCUUUUUUUUUCUUUCUGAACACCCAUUUACAACUAACAGUCUUUUUACCCUUAGGAAGCUUCACUAGGUUCCAUGAACUAUUCUUAUGAAGUGAUUUAAUCUAUUCUUACAUAACAAUCAUCCACUUGCCUGAAUCUUCACAACUAACUUUCUUGAAAUAAGUAGAUGGCUCUUGAUUUACAUCUAUAUCUUCAGCCACAUUUAAAGCAUAGGUAACUAAAUCAGCCUCAGCGAACCUCUUUAGAGAUUUAAUUUCUCUUCUAAGUCUAUUAUUGGCAAUAGAAUAUUGUACUUCUGACUGUGGUGAAGAAACAACUCUACUCUGAGUUUUUGUACUAACCUGAGGAGUAGACUCUGUUGUAGAUCCUGGAUCAAUCUGAAGCUUCACCUAUUUCACACGUGUGUUUAAUCUCUACUGGUCUUUACUAGAAAAGCCUUUAAGAGGUAAGCUAUGUAACAUAUAAAAAUAACAUCUCUGUUAAUUACAAUUUUCCUAGUUUUAGAACACCAUAGUUUGUAUCCUUUAACGCCAGCCUUAUAUCUAAGAAAAAACAAAGUUAAUAGAUCUAGGCUCCAAUUUACCAUUAUCAACUUGAGCAUACAUGGGACACCCAAAAAUCUUCAAAUCAGAAUAAUUAGCAAGAGUACCAGACCAUACCUUUUGUGGAGUCUUUUUCUCAAUGGCAAUGGAUGGAGAUCGGUUAAUUAGAAAACAUGUUGUACAGGUUGCUUCAGCCCAAAACAACUUUGGUAAUCACCUGUGAUGGAUUAGAUCGAUAUCUUCGCAACAUUGAUACAUGAAAGACAUUAUGGAUCCUAUCCAACUCUAGCAAUAAGGCUAGCCGAUAAGUUAUGGACCAACACGCUCCAGAAUUUCAUAUGGUCUUAUAAACCUCGAACUCAACUUUCCCUUCCCUCUAAAUCGAAGAACCUUUUUUCACGAACAAACUUUCAAGAAUAUUCUCCCCAAAUCAUAUUCACUAUCUUUCCUGUUAUGAUCAACAUAGGAUUUCUAUCUAUCAAAGGUUGCUUUCAAUCGAUAUCUAAACAACUUUACUUUUUAUUUUGUUUCUCUGAUCAAAUCUGAUCCUACUAGCUUAUUUUUGUUCAACUCUAUCUAUCAAACAGGAGUUCUACACUUCCUUCCAUGUAACGCUUCAUAUGGUGUCAUUUUAAUACAAUAUUGAUAUCUGUUAUUAUAAGUUAACUCAACCAGUGGCAAAUAUCUUUCUCAACUUCCUUCAGAUUCAAUGAAGCAACUUUUCAACAUCUCUUCCAAAAUUUUACUUACCCACUCCGAUUGUCUGUAACACCUCGUACCCAGCCUAAACGUUAUGGUCGAAUCAUGUAGGUUAAAUAAAAAUUUUCUGAACUUAACCUAUUUCGAAAUCGAAAAUUUUAUAGAAACUUACUUUAUUCCUUUGGUAAGAAAAGUUGCCAAUCAAAAGGCAUAUGUGAAGGUUUUGAAUUGUUAUUUUAUAAAACUCAUUUUACUUAAAAUAUCGUGUUGUCAACCUUAUUUGCGUUCCUUGUAAAAAUCUGUAUUCCUGAUUAAAACUUUACAACGGAAAAAAAAUUCUUAAACUUAUUUAAUUUUUUUAAAAUUGAAUGCUUAAUUUUUUUAUUAUAAAAAAUCAUGCCAAAUUUUUAGUAGCUAACUAAAUACUUCGCAAAUUCUAAAACCACAAAUAAAGUCUGUAAAACCUUCCAACAGUCUCAAGAGUCCAUAAUUUUAAAAUAAAAAUUACUAAUAAGUUUUAUAUGAGAUAACCAAUCUGAGCUCCCGAGCGCCACCAAAUCCUAAAUCUGAGAGUUACCUAAAAAGUUUAAGCAAACGAAGUAAGCUAUAAAGCUUAGUGUGUGCCUUGGCCCACAAGCAAAAUCACAUAGUAGAAUCAUGCAUAGAUGCAUAUAUCAGAAUAAACAGAUCAAAAUUUAAGAGAUAAUCAGAUAAAAUAAUAAUCUAACCAAAUCCCAUUAAAAUUUGAAUUUUUUACUAUCUAUCAAAUAGCUAGGAGUUUGAUUUUAAUCCCAUACUCUAUUUCUUUGGACGACACAAUAGUAGAGAAACAAAAAUAAGUUUCGAUUUGAGCACUACAAGAUUUAAACUCAGGUUGCACAGGGGAAGGAGAAUGCUUAACCAUUGAACCAGUAGACUCAUUAUUGUCAGCAAACUAACGAAAAUAAAAUAUAUCCUACCCAUGGAUAGCCAAGUAUAGGGAUAAAAACAAUAAAAAUUCAAGAAAAGGAAUUCAAACACAAAACCUCAGGCACACAUAACUAACACUUAGCCAUUGCAACAUAUUUAUUUACUUGACACAACUAUAAACCCAGAAACUGAAGGAUUUUAGGGCUUUACAUUGUCCAUUAGUUUAAGGAUGAAAUGCAGUAUUGAAAUUCAAGCUGGUACUUAAAGUUUCAUGUAACUUUUCCUAAAAUCUUGAAGUAAAUCUUGGAUCUCUAUUGAAAAUUAUAGAUAUUAGCACUCCAUGAAGUCUCAAUAUCUCAUUUAUAUACAAUUAUGCAUAUAUUUUCAUUGUAUAAUUUGUUCAAAUAGGGAGAAAAUGAGCAGAAUUUGUCAAUUUGUCUACUAUAACCCAAAUAGCAUCUUUCUUCUUUGGUGUGAGUGGUAACCACGAAAUCCAUUGUAAUUCUCUCACACUUAUUUCUAUCUUCAGCUUAUUUCUUGACCGAUAUUAUAUUUAUAUCCUCCCUUUGUGCAUUUUUCACCUCUUGCAACAAAAUUGGUUUCACUCUUAACUUAGCUAGCAACAUUUUACUUCGCUCCAACUUCAAAUGUGCACUCAUUGCCUUUAAAGCUAUCAAUGACUUUCUACUCAACGCAUUAGCUACCACAUUCGCUUUUCUCAAAUAGUAAUCAAUGAUACCGUCAUAAUCUUUGAAAUACUUCAAUCCAUCUUCUCUGUCUUAAAUUUAACUCUUUUUGAAUCAACAAAUACUUCAAAAUUUUAUGAUAUGUAAAAAUAUAACAUUUUUCUCCAUAAAGAUAAUGUAUUCAAAUCUUUAAAGCAACUGUCAACUCUAAAUUGUGUGUGGGGUAAUUUCUUUCCUACACUUUCAAUUUUCUAGAAGCAUAUGCACACCUUUCAGUCUUGUAUUAACAAGCAUCCUAAUUCAUUGUGGGGUAAUUUCUCGAGCUUGGAUCUAUUACAGGCUCAUACUUUUUUGAACUCGAGUUGUUAUAAGCUCAGAUCGAUACAAUCAGGCUUUUAGGCUUGAGUCUGUUUUAUCAACUCUAUUCUAAUUCCCAUGCUUAGCGGUUAGACAAACUCUGCUUCUUAACCAACCUUCAUUGAUCAAUCUUUCCUUAGAUUAUCAGUUUUCUUUUCUUAUUUUUGACUUGAAAUUUCCAGGUUAUAAUUCAAUUUAUAAAUUCGUUUUUCCUUUUUCUUCAAAACUCGGAAAUCCUUUAAAUAUCAUCUUGAAGGCUUUUGAUUAAAAAAGCUAAUGUGGUGGUGAAUUCUGAAUAAAUAUUUUUAAUUUGUUCUCAAUAUUAUAGUAUUUUCAUUUUUCUCAUCACAUCAUUUUAAUACAAACUUCUUGAGAAAUUGUAAUAAAAUAAUGUAUAAAUGAAAUAUAAUUUCUACCAAUGAAACAUUGAUUUUCCAUUUCAUCAUCACAUUCAAAACAUGAAUUCAGUUGAUACUAAAAUGUUCAAAGUAAUAUAUUAAAUGAAUUUAUUGUAUAAAAUAAUGUUUUUUUUUUCAUACUCGCUUAAUCGGUUUUGUCUUGAUUAAUUUGAGGUUGAAACUUAAAAAUCAUAUUGAUGAAUUGAAAAAUAUGAUUUUUUUUUGAAGAAUACAAAGUUUUAUUUAAAAUGAGAACUCGUAAUUGACUUUUUUUUAAUUAGGUGUGAGAUCAACCACCUAUAAAAUCAAGAACAAAGUCAAAGAAAUUAAAUUAUACAUUUUUAUGAUAGUAAAAAUAUAAUUUUAUCAUUUUAAUAGUUUAUGUUUUUAUAAUUUUUAAAAUAUUAAAUUAAAUUUUUAUCAUUUUGAAGUGUCAAAAUAUAAUUUUACCAUUACUAAUUUAAAAUUUUAAAGAGUUAGAACAUUGUUAAACAAACAUUGUCUUAAUUUUUAGAACUACAAGUUAAAAUUUGAUAUUUAAAUGUGAUCCACAAAACAAAAAAUUUAUUUAUAUACUUAUUUUUUAGAGUAAGCCAUAUUUUAUUCAAAAGAAAAAAUAUCUUUGAAAAUCUUCAAUUAAUAUCGAAAUAUAUUUUAUUUAAAAGACAAAGAAAAUUCAAAUUACUCAAAUUAAAAACUACAUUCCAUUUUUAAUAAAGAUAAAUGAAAUUUAACAUAAUUAUGAAUUCACAAAUUCAUACUAAAGGAAGAUGUUGUUUAAAUAUUUUCCAUCAUACAUGAAUUUGAUUAGUAUAAUAAUAAAUUUAGUCAUUAAAAUUUACACAUUCUGCUAAUAUUUUGUUAAUUUAGUACUAAUUUAACAAAUUUAUCUCAUAACAUUUGUGUACUUGUAUAAAUGUUUAAGCUAAAUUUAUUGAUUUUUUUUAAUUAAAGCCAAAAUGAGAAAACAUAUAAAUAUUAAAAGGCUGAAUUUAUUAUACCAAUAAGAAUUAUGUAAAUUAAUAAAUAAAAAACAUUAAGUGGUGAUUAAAUUAUCUUUAAUAAUGAAUUUCGAAAUUGGGAAACACUUACCGAAGAUUAGAAUCUUAUAAUAUCUAACAUAACCAACCAUAAAAUGCAUGGAAAUAUAAUAACACGUAUACUUCCACCGAAGUCUACCAAAUCUUGGCUUUUCCUCAACCAACCAUGCAACUCCCACCAAUCACUUUCUUUUCUUCAUGCUUUUUUAAAUAUUGUUUUAACUCACGUUUUUUUAAUUUGAACAGUAAUCUUUACUUUACAUAUUUUAAUGUAAUAAAUAUGGGGAGGGGUAUAAAACUCGAGUAAUUUUAUACAGUAAUAUUUUUUAUGUAAAUUAAAAUUUAAGUAAACUAAUAAUAUCUAAUAAUAUGUUUAAUAUAAAAAAGAGAAUUAUUUUUCAUUUCUAAUUUUUUGAAAAAAAAAAUAGAAUUUUAUUGAAAAUUACAACAAAGAAAUAAAUCAGUGGGGCUUUACUAAUUCUAUACCCCAUUUGAAUUGUAAAUGUUAUUAUUCUUUCAAUAAAAUAUGAUAUCCAUGAAUAAAUAUUUGGAUUUUUUUAAAAUAUUUUAUUCAUUUGAAAUCGGAAAUUGUUUUUGUUAGUAGAAGAUGCCAAGACGAUAGGGGAAAAUAAAACUACAAGAGAUGCAAGCAUUUGUAGGCUAUAAAAAAGGAGCAAAGUAGUGAAAGCAUUUUAUCAUUAGAUUCGGAAAUGGAGCUCCUGAACGUACCCAAACUUUCAUUCAAUCUUUUGUUUUCAUCUCUGAUUCUCCUUUUCUCCUUGUUAAUUUUGCUUAAACUAGCAAAAAGGAAAACCCUGAAUUUGCCACCAUCACCUCCAAUGCUACCACUUAUUGGCAACAUCCAUCAGCUUGGCAAACUUCCCCACCGUUCUCUCCGGGACCUCUCUAGGAAAUAUGGUUCUCUCCUACUACUACAAUUGGGGUAUAACCCAACUGUAGUGGUUUCAUCAGCCGACAUAGUUAGAGAAAUUGUGAAGAACCAUGACAGUGUCUUCUCCGACAGACCAAGGACCACAGCUGUAGAUAUCUU